rnacentral:tRNA from 1 species
AGCAACUGGCCGAGUGGAUAACGCGAUAGCGUUUGAAGUGAAAGGUACUGGGUUCGAGUCCCAGAGUGAAUA